AAGUCGUAACAAGGUUUCCGUAGAAGGAUCAUUAACACGUAUCCAAACGUUAAACCCCCCUCGUACGUCCGUUAGAAAAAGCAGCAAUCCCUGGUAAAUCAUCGCCGAACAGUUUUCGAUUCAGGGACGUCUGCAAGGAGCGUGCAUGUUGUGCGAAGCAAGUGGCCUGGCAUCCCCAAGCAGUUAGUGUCUGAAAGUGUCAUUAACUGUGUAAGGAUGACGCAGUCACGAUCGUUGGAGGCCCACACGGCCGACGACCGGGUCACUGGUCGACCAAAAACCGAACAACUGUUAACAAUGGAUAUCUUGGUUCUC
rnacentral:misc_RNA from 1 species